CAGGUCGCAUCGUAAGAAAAGAAUUUGUUGGUUGUUUCAUGGAUCAAAGAUCCCGAACCUUGAACGGAAAGAUGACCACCUCUAAAACCAUGACAGUGGACAGCUGCAGAAAAACGUGCACAGAUCUGAGGUUCAAAUACUACGGUGUAGAGUAUAGCUCACAGUGUUUUUGUGGAAAUAAACUAACAAAGUCAGUCAAGAUGAAGGAAAACGACUGUUGGAGUUUUUGUGCAGGUGAUAAAACACAGGCUUGUGGUGGCACAUGGAGAAUUGCCAUUUAUAAAAAUCCUAUAUUCA